rnacentral:rRNA from 1 species
GUGAAUCAUCGAGUCUUUGAACGCACCUUGCGCUCCUUGGUAUUCCUCGGAGCAUGCCUGUUUGAGUAUCAUGAAAUCCUCAAAGCCCGUCUUUUGUUAAUUCGAAGGACGCGGGUUUGGACUUGGAGGUCUUGCGGAUUCACGUCCGCUCCUCUCAAAAGCAUUAGCUGGAUCUCGGCGAACCAGGUUCCACUCGGCGUGAUAAGUUAUUGCUCGUCGAGGACACCCCUCAAAAGGUGGCCAGGAUCGCGGAUGAACCGCUUCCAAACGUCCGCCAGGACAAAACACUUUAUGAUCUGAUCUCAAAUCAGGUAGGACUACCCGCUGAACUUAA